GAUACCCUGGUAGUCCACGCUGUAAACGAUGUCGACUUGGAGGUUGUUCCCUUGAGGAGUGGCUUCCGGAGCUAACGCGUUAAGUCGACCGCCUGGGGAGUACGGCCGCAAGGUUAAAACUCAAAUGAAUUGACGGGGGCCCGCACAAGCGGUGGAGCAUGUGGUUUAAUUCGAUGCAACGCGAAGAACCUUACCUACUCUUGACAUCCAGAGAACUUAGCAGAGAUGCUUUGGUGCCUUCGGGAACUCUGAGACAGGUGCUGCAUGGCUGUCGUCAGCUCGUGUUGUGAAAUGUUGGGUUAAGUCCCGCAACGAGCGCAACCCUUAUCCUUUGUUGCCAGCGGUUCGGCCGGGAACUCAAAGGAGACUGCCAGUGAUAAACUGGAGGAAGGUGGGGAUGACGUCAAGUCAUCAUGGCCCUUACGAGUAGGGCUACACACGUGCUACAAUGGCAUAUACAAAGAGAAGCGACCUCGCGAGAGCAAGCGGACCUCAUAAAGUAUGUCGUAGUCCGGAUCGGAGUCUGCAACUCGACUCCGUGAAGUCGGAAUCGCUAGUAAUCGUGGAUCAGAAUGCCACGGUGAAUACGUUCCCGGGCCUUGUACACACCGCCCGUCACACCAUGGGAGUGGGUUGCAAAAGAAGUAGGUAGCUUAACCUUCGGGAGGGCG
rnacentral:rRNA from 1 species